UUGAACGCUGGCGGCAGGCCUAACACAUGCAAGUCGAACGGUAACAGGAAGCAGCUUGCUGUUUCGCUGACGAGUGGCGGACGGGUGAGUAAUGUCUGGGAAACUGCCUGAUGGAGGGGGAUAACUACUGGAAACGGUAGCUAAUACCGCAUAACGUCGCAAGACCAAAGAGGGGGACCUUCGGGCCUCUUGCCAUCGGAUGUGCCCAGAUGGGAUUAGCUAGUAGGUGGGGUAACGGCUCACCUAGGCGACGAUCCCUAGCUGGUCUGAGAGGAUGACCAGCCACACUGGAACUGAGACACGGUCCAGACUCCUACGGGAGGCAGCAGUGGGGAAUAUUGCACAAUGGGCGCAAGCCUGAUGCAGCCAUGCCGCGUGUAUGAAGAAGGCCUUCGGGUUGUAAAGUACUUUCAGCGGGGAGGAAGGGAGUAAAGUUAAUACCUUUGCUCAUUGACGUUACCCGCAGAAGAAGCACCGGCUAACUCCGUGCCAGCAGCCGCGGUAAUACGGAGGGUGCAAGCGUUAAUCGGAAUUACUGGGCGUAAAGCGCACGCAGGCGGUUUGUUAAGUCAGAUGUGAAAUCCCCGGGCUCAACCUGGGAACUGCAUCUGAUACUGGCAAGCUUGAGUCUCGUAGAGGGGGGUAGAAUUCCAGGUGUAGCGGUGAAAUGCGUAGAGAUCUGGAGGAAUACCGGUGGCGAAGGCGGCCCCCUGGACGAAGACUGACGCUCAGGUGCGAAAGCGUGGGGAGCAAACAGGAUUAGAUACCCUGGUAGUCCACGCCGUAAACGAUGUCGACUUGGAGGUUGUGCCCUUGAGGCGUGGCUUCCGGAGCUAACGCGUUAAGUCGACCGCCUGGGGAGUACGGCCGCAAGGUUAAAACUCAAAUGAAUUGACGGGGGCCCGCACAAGCGGUGGAGCAUCUGGCUUAAUUCGAUGCAACGCGAAGAACCUUACCUGGUCUUGACAUCCACGGAAGUUUUCAGAGAUGAGAAUGUGCCUUCGGGAACCGUGAGACAGGUGCUGCAUGGCUGUCGUCAGCUCGUGUUGUGAAAUGUUGGGUUAAGUCCCGCAACGAGCGCAACCCUUAUCCUUUGUUGCCAGCGGUCCGGCCGGGAACUCAAAGGAGACUGCCAGUGAUAAACUGGAGGAAGGUGAGGAUGACGUCAAGUCAUCAUGGCCCUUACGACCAGGGCUACACACGUGCUACAAUGGCGCAUACAAAGAGAAGCGACCUCGCGAGAGCAAGCGGACCUCAUAAAGUGCGUCGUAGUCCGGAUUGGAGUCUGCAACUCGACUCCAUGAAGUCGGAAUCGCUAGUAAUCGUGGAUCAGAAUGCCACGGUGAAUACGUUCCCGGGCCUUGUACACACCGCCCGUCACACCAUGGGAGUGGGUUGCAAAAGAAGUAGGUAGCUUAACCUUCGGGAGGGCGCUUACCACUUUGUGAUUCAUGACUGGGGUG
rnacentral:rRNA from 1 species